GAUGAACGCUGGCGGCGUGCCUAAUACAUGCAAGUCGAACGCGAGCAGCAAUGCUCGAGUGGCGAACGGGUGAGUAAUACAUAAGUAACCUGCCCUAGACAGGGGGAUAACUGCUGGAAACGGCAGCUAAGACCGCAUAGGUAUGGACACUGCAUGGUGACCAUAUUAAAAGUGCCAAGGCACUGGUAGAGGAUGGACUUAUGGCGCAUUAGCUGGUUGGUGAGGUAACGGCUCACCAAGGCGACGAUGCGUAGCCGGCCUGAGAGGGCGGACGGCCACACUGGGACUGAGACACGGCCCAG
rnacentral:rRNA from 1 species